GAAAUGCGAUAAGUAAUGUGAAUUGCAGAAUUCAGUGAAUCAUCGAAUCUUUGAACGCACAUUGCGCCCGCCAGUAUUCUGGCGGGCAUGCCUGUUCGAGCGUCAUUACAACCCUCAGGCCCCCGGGCCUGGUGUUGGGGAUCGGCGGAAGCCCCCUGCGGGCACAACGCCGUCCCCCAAAUACAGUGGCGGUCCCGCCGCAGCUUCCAUUGCGUAGUAGCUAACACCUCGCAACUGGAGAGCGGCGCGGCCACGCCGUAAAACACCCAACUUCUGAAUGUUGACCUCGAAUCAGGUAGGAAUACCCGCUGAACUUAAGC
rnacentral:misc_RNA from 1 species